rnacentral:tRNA from 1 species
GGUGGUAUAGCCAAGUGGUAAGGCAGAGGUCUGCAAAGCCUUUAUCAUCGGUUCAAAUCCGAUUACCACCU